ensembl:lncRNA
GAAUGCACCUGUGGCAUAUGGAAGUUCCCAGGCUAGGGCCGAAUUGGAACUGCAGCUGCUGGCCUAUGCUGCAGCCACAGCAACACCAGAUCCAGGUCGUAUUUGUGACCUAUGCCUCAGCUUGCAGUAAUGCCAGACUCUUAACCCACUGAGCAGCCAGAGAUUGAACCCACAUCUUCACAGACACUAUGUCUGAUUCUUAAUCUGCUGAGCCACAACAGGAACUCCUACAUUGAGAAGUUUCUAAGACUGGGAAUGCUCCAUCUACUCAGAAGUCUUUGCCCUUGGGGACCGGGCCUGGGACAGGAGACAGUGGGCUUGCUCACAGCAGUGCAAGCCUCUUGCUCAUGGUUCUCAGCUCUGUAUAUCAGACCCUUUAAAAACACCCAGGUCUAGGUCCCAUGCUCCUAUGGUUGUCAGAUAAUGCAAGGUGUGACUUUUGGAUAAAUAACCACGUGAUUUUUAGCAUAAGUACAUCCCCCAUAUCACAUGCCAGCUUCAUAGACUGCCUGGUUCUCUGUCAAUUCACCAGAAACUCUGUGACUUUCUAAAGGGGGUUCCCCUGAGGAGAACCAGAGCCACAGGUACAAGAAUCCCCCAUUGUCAUCUCAGUGUCCACAUCCCGCCUGUCCCAUGCAAGUGUCCACAAAGUCACAUGGACUCUGAUUCUAUUUUAUGUUCCCAGGUUCCGGCUCAUGCUGUGCCCUCUCCUCUGAAUGGUCCUUCCACUGCCCCUCCAGCAUGUAUCCAUACAAGAACCCUCACUGGUUCAAACCCAACCCCCCAUAGGAGGCACCUGUGCUGACCUUCUAGGAGGAAGUGACUUCCUGUUUCUACAGCAGACCCAGCAAGCACAGCAAAAUGACUCUGGGGUAUAGGGGAGGCUAUGGCAUCUUCCCAUGGGUGUCCAGCAAUUUGCAGGGUGAACGGCACAGGGAAGGUUGUCACACAAAACUCCUCCUGGCAGCCUGGUGACAUGCAGCAGGAGAAACACCCACACAACAAGUUAGGAAAGCAGGAGUUUGCAGUACUGGCUGAACCAGUCCACUGAGCACCUGCUGGGUGCUGGGCAAGAGGCCAUCUGUGUUGACCUCUUGGCUGCAGAGAACUGGACACACGUUAGGCCUCUGCCUCCCAUGACCACAAAUGAUGCUUUAACUGAUUCCAGGGGAAAGACCUGAGGACCCCUCCCUGCUCCUUCCCCAGACCCCAGCUCAUGGGCAGCCCUCCUGCCCUGCCCCCACCUGCCCUUUCUCCCACCCUUAACAUUCCCCAGCCUUGGUGUCUGGGGAGGCUGGUUGCUUGGUAUUUCAGCUGUAACCUCACACCUCCAGCUCAGUGUCCAUCUCAGGGCAGACCACUUGUGUGGCUCUGCAUUAGCUGCUUAUCCUCUUGGCAGUGUCACCGAUCCUUUCCUUGAGGUUUGCUCUGACAGGGCUGCCUUGGUGCACCACUCUGAGCCCCUCCCAUGGGGCCCUCAGGGCAGGGGGGGGGGUGCACCUUCCAGGGAAGGCUCUGUUUACCGGCCCAGGGUGCCAGGUGGCCCUGCCUACCCUGCCCUGUAUGGAAGCUUGGUCUUGGAGUGUCCUCCAUCCUCCUGUGCAUCCAUGUGCACAGGGCAGCUGGAGGUCUUCCCUGGGUCUGCUCUGUGCUAGGACCUCACU